rnacentral:rRNA from 1 species
UGGGGAAUCUUGCGCAAUGGGCGAAAGCCUGACGCAGCAACGCCGCGUGCGGGAAGAAGGCUCUCGGGUUGUAAACCGCUUUCAGAAGGAACGAAACUGACGGUACUUUCAGAAGAAGGUGCGGCCAACUACGUGCCAGCAGCCGCGGUGACACGUAGGCACCAAGCGUUGUCCGGAUUUAUUGGGCGUAAAGAGCUCGUAGGCGGUUCAGUAAGUCAGGUGUGAAAUCUUUGGGCUUAACCCAAAGCGUGCAUUUGAUACUGCUGUGACUUGAGUUCGGUAGGGGAGUGGGGAAUUCCUAGUGUAGCGGUGAAAUGCGCAGAUAUUAGGAGGAACACCGGUGGCGAAGGCGCCACUCUGGGCCGAAACUGACGCUGAGGAGCGAAAGCGUGGGUAGCAAACA